rnacentral:piRNA from 1 species
UCACCAUAGCCACACAGGACAAAUGUUGU